rnacentral:rRNA from 1 species
CGGGAGGCAGCAGUAGGGAAUCUUCCGCAAUGGACGCAAGUCUGACGGAGCAACGCCGCGUGAGUGACGAAGGUUUUCGGAUCGUAAAACUCUGUUGUGAGGGAAGAACACGUACCAGGUAACUACUGGUACCUUGACGGUACCUCACCAGAAAGCCACGGCUAACUACGUGCCAGCAGCCGCGGUAAGACGGAGGAUGCAAGCGUUAUCCGGAAUGAUUGGGCGUAAAGCGUCCGCAGGUGGCAGUUCAAGUCUGCUGUCAAAGACCGGGGCUUAACUUCGGAAAGGCAGUGGAAACUGAACAGCUAGAGUAUGGUAG